rnacentral:rRNA from 1 species
CACGUAGGCACCAAGCGUUGUCCGGAUUUAUUGGGCGUAAAGAGCUCGUAGGCGGUUCAGUAAGUCGGGUGUGAAAACUCUGGGCUCAACCCAGAGACGCCACCCGAUACUGCUGUGACUUGAGUACGGUAGGGGAGUGGGGAAUUCCUGGUGUAGCGGUGAAAUGCGUAGAUAUCGAGAGGAACACCUGCGGCGAAGGCGGGUUGCUGGGCUGACACUGACGCUGAGGCGCGAAAGCUAGGGGAGCGAACGGG